UAUCUCUGUAGAGUCUGCAUAUCAAUAAGCGGAGGAAAAGAAACUAACAUAGGAUUCCCUCAGUAACGGCGAGUGAAGCGGGAAGAGCUCAAAUUUGAAAUCUUCAAGGUUCUACCUUGACGAAUUGUAGUUUAAAGAAGUGUUUUCUGUUAGAUGAGUAGCAAAAGUUCCUUGGAAUGGGACAUCAUAGAGGGUGAGAAUCCCGUAUUUGGUUAUUCAUUCUAGCUUUGUGAUACACUUUCAAAGAGUCGGAUUGUUUGGGAAUGCAGUCCAAAAUGGGUGGUAAAUUUCAUCUAAAGCUAAAUAUUGGCGAGAGACCGAUAGCGAACAAGUACCGUGAGGGAAAGAUGAAAAGAACUUUGAAAAGAGAGUUAAACAGUACGUGAAAUUGUCAAAAGGGAAGCGUUUGACACCAGUGUUGUUUUUCCGAAAAUCAAUUACGAAUGGCUUGAUUCUGUGUUGUAUUGACCUUAUCAGCUUUCUGCACUUUUUUCGAGUCUUUCUUAAUGCACUUUUCGGUUAACAAGUCAACAUCAAUUUCUUUUGUUGUAAAAGAGUAUUCGGAAGGUGGCUUUCUUUUCGGAGAAAGUGUUUAUAGCCCUAUACUUCUACAAUCGGAGAGAUUGAGGUCUGCAGCGUAGAUCCUUCGGGGUUAGAUACACUUGUGCUAAGCUGUAGCUUUUCAUAGACAACUUGUUGACUAUGUUUAGUCAUGCGGCUUACUCGCUUGUGCUAUUUUACCUACGCUUAGGAUGUUGAAAGAUGUAGCACAUCAU
rnacentral:rRNA from 1 species